rnacentral:rRNA from 1 species
UACGGAGGGUGCAAGCGUUAUUCGGAAUCACUGGGCGUAAAGGGUGUGUAGGCGGUCUGUUAAGUCUGGUGUGAAAUCCCUGCGCUCAACGGAGGAACGGCGCUGGAAACUGGCAGGCUUGAGUACCGGAGAGGAAGGUGGAAUUCCCGGUGUAGCGGUGAAAUGCGUAGAUAUCAGGAGGAACACCAGUGGCGAAGGCGGCUCUCUGGACGCAUACUGACGCUGAGAUGCGAAAGCGUGGGGAGCAAACAGG